rnacentral:rRNA from 1 species
AUUGAACGCUGGCGGCAGGCCUAACACAUGCAAGUCGAACGAGUGGCGGACGGGUGAGUAAUGUCUGGGAAACUGCCCGAUGGAGGGGGAUAACUACUGGAAACGGUAGCUAAUACCGCAUACCAUCGGAUGUGCCCAGAUGGGUUUAGCUAGGGUGUGGGGUAAUGGCUCACCAAGGCGACGAUCCCUAGCUGGUCUGAGAGGAUGACCAGCACCACUGGAACUGUGACCCGGUCCAGACUCCUACGGGAGGCAGCAGUGGGGAAUAUUGCACAAUGGGCGAACGCCUGAUACAGCCAUGCCGCGUGUAUGAAGAAGGCCUUCGGGUUGUAAAGUACUUUCAGCGGGGAGGCGUUACUCGCAGAAGAAGCACCGGCUAACUCCGUGCCAGCAGCCGCGGUAAUUC